UACGGAAGGGGCGAGCGUUGUUCGGAAUUAUUGGGCGUAAAGGGCGUGUAGGCGGCUUCGCAGGUCUGUGGUGAAAGGAUACAGCUCAACUGUAUUGAGCCGCGGAAACGGCGGAGCUUGAGGCUGGGAGGGGCUGGUGGAAUUCCCUGUGUAGCGGUGAAAUGCGUAGAGAUGGGGGAGAACACUCGUGGCGAAGGCGGCCAGCUAGACCAGUUCUGACGCUGAGACGCGAAAGCGUGGGGAGCAAGCAGG
rnacentral:rRNA from 1 species